UUCGGAUUGUAGUCUGCAACCCGACUACAUGAAGCUGGAAUCGCUAGUAAUCGCGGAUCAGAAUGCCGCGGUGAAUACGUUCCCGGGUCUUGUACACACCGCCCGUCACACCAUGGGAGUCGGAUAUGCCCGAAGUCAGUGACCCAACCAUAUGGAGGGAGCUGCCGAAGGUGGAGCCGAUAACUGGGGUGAAGUCGUAACAAGGUAUC
rnacentral:rRNA from 1 species